rnacentral:misc_RNA from 1 species
AACAAGGCGUACCUGCGGACCUGCGGAAGGAUCAUUACCGAGUUUACAAACUCCCAACCCUAUGUGAACCUUACCAAUCGUUGCUUCGGCGGGCUUAGCCCCCGCGCCCUCGCCGGCGCCGGGAGAAAGGCGCCCGCCGGGGACCCCAAACCCAAUGUUUUUCAUGCAGUAUUUCUGAGUGGCAAACGCAAAAAUAAAUCAAAACUUUUAACAAUGGAUCU